UGCGGCGUGCCUAAUACAUGCAAGUAGAACGCUGAAGAGAGGAGCUUGCUCUUCUUGGAUGAGUUGCGAACGGGUGAGUAACGCGUAGGUAACCUGCCUUGUAGCGGGGGAUAACUAUUGGAAACGAUAGCUAAUACCGCAUAACAAUGGAUGACACAUGUCAUUUAUUUGAAAGGGGCAAUUGCUCCACUACAAGAUGGACCUGCGUUGUAUUAGCUAGUAGGUGAGGUAACGGCUCACCUAGGCGACGAUACAUAGCCGACCUGAGAGGGUGAUCGGCCACACUGGGACUGAGACACGGCCCAGACUCCUACGGGAGGCAGCAGUAGGGAAUCUUCGGCAAUGGGGGCAACCCUGACCGAGCAACGCCGCGUGAGUGAAGAAGGUUUUCGGAUCGUAAAGCUCUGUUGUAAGUCAAGAACGAGUGUGAGAGUGGAAAGUUCACACUGUGACGGUAGCUUACCAGAAAGGGACGGCUAACUACGUGCCAGCAGCCGCGGUAAUACGUAGGUCCCGAGCGUUGUCCGGAUUUAUUGGGCGUAAAGCGAGCGCAGGCGGUUUGAUAAGUCUGAAGUUAAAGGCUGUGGCUCAACCAUAGUUCGCUUUGGAAACUGUCAAACUUGAGUGCAGAAGGGGAGAGUGGAAUUCCAUGUGUAGCGGUGAAAUGCGUAGAUAUAUGGAGGAACACCGGUGGCGAAAGCGGCUCUCUGGUCUGUAACUGACGCUGAGGCUCGAAAGCGUGGGGAGCGAACAGGAUUAGAUACCCUGGUAGUCCACGCCGUAAACGAUGAGUGCUAGGUGUUGGAUCCUUUCCGGGAUUCAGUGCCGCAGCUAACGCAUUAAGCACUCCGCCUGGGGAGUACGACCGCAAGGUUGAAACUCAAAGGAAUUGACGGGGGCCCGCACAAGCGGUGGAGCAUGUGGUUUAAUUCGAAGCAACGCGAAGAACCUUACCAGGUCUUGACAUCCCGAUGCUAUUUCUAGAGAUAGAAAGUUACUUCGGUACAUCGGUGACAGGUGGUGCAUGGUUGUCGUCAGCUCGUGUCGUGAGAUGUUGGGUUAAGUCCCGCAACGAGCGCAACCCCUAUUGUUAGUUGCCAUCAUUCAGUUGGGCACUCUAGCGAGACUGCCGGUAAUAAACCGGAGGAAGGUGGGGAUGACGUCAAAUCAUCAUGCCCCUUAUGACCUGGGCUACACACGUGCUACAAUGGUUGGUACAACGAGUUGCGAGCCGGUGACGGCAAGCUAAUCUCUUAAAGCCAAUCUCAGUUCGGAUUGUAGGCUGCAACUCGCCUACAUGAAGUCGGAAUCGCUAGUAAUCGCGGAUCAGCACGCCGCGGUGAAUACGUUCCCGGGCCUUGUACACACCGCCCGUCACACCACGAGAGUUUGUAACACCCGAAGUCGGUGAGGUAACCUUAUGGAGCCAGCCGCCUAAGGUGGGAUAGAUGAUUG
rnacentral:rRNA from 1 species